GACGAACGCUGGCGGCGUGCUUAACACAUGCAAGUCGAACGAUGAAGCCGGAGCUUGCUCUGGUGAAUUAGUGUCGAACGGGUGAGUAACACGUGAGUAACCUGCCCUUGACUCUGGGAUAACUGCUAGAAAUGGGAGCUAAUACCGGAUACGACCCUCGGAGGCAUCUCCAGGGGGUGGAAAGAAUUUCGGUCAAGGAUGGACUCGCGGCCUAUCAGCUAGUUGGUGAGGUAAUGGCUGACCAAGGCGACGACGGGUAGCCGGCCUGAGAGGGUGACCGGCCACACUGGGGCUGAGACACGGCCCAGACUCCUACGGGAGGCAGCAGUGGGGAAUAUUGCACAAUGGGCGCAAGCCUGAUGCAGCAACGCCGCGUGAGGGAUGACGGCCUUCGGGUUGUAAACCUCUUUUAGUAGGGAAGAAGCGAAAGUGACGGUACCUGCAGAAAAAGCACCGGCUAACUACGUGCCAGCCGCCGCCGUAA
rnacentral:rRNA from 1 species